ensembl:lncRNA
CUAGGGGCAAAUGGGGAUGAGGAAGGAACAACUGGCUGGAGACUGAAGCGGAGCUGACGAGAAACCGGGAGGAGAACUGAGUCCAUGCGUGAGAAAAUCCAGGAGGGGGGGAAACGGAGUCCAAAAGCAAAUCCAAAAGAAUGUCUUGAGUCCGUGACAAGAUACACUGAAAGGACUCUGAUAGUUUGAGUGAAAGUAGCAGUUGCUCCUUAAGGUCAGAGAUUGCAGCAUCUGAGGGCCUCUUCAAAAGAAGACUUAGUUGAUGAAGGCGUUCUGGAGCAGGACCAGAAAGACCACGACUAAGCACCCUUGAGAUCUCAGGCAGCGUCUCGCUCAGGUCCCUCUCUAUCUCCCCACACAUCCACCAACCACUGGAACACAUCUCCAAAGUUCUGCCGGGCCAGCUCAGCUUCCCCUCAGAAGAAGUGCUGCCACCUGCCAGAUGAAGGAGCCUUUUGAGAGGCAGCUGGCAUCGUGAUUGGACUGUACUUUGGUCUGUUCCAAUCCAGCUUCAGCUCCAGAGACGGCAGGCGGGACGAGUCAACGGAGGCCGGGUGGACGAAGGCAUGCAGCUGCGUACAAUCCAGAAAACAACAAAUAACAAGUCAAAGGAAAGAGACAUACAUUGUAGAAUUGUAGUAAUUGUGGGCUGACUGAUUUACUGAUUAUCAGUAUUUUAUUUUUUACUGAUUUACGGUAAUAAAUACAUUUAAAAAUGGUGCUACUUUGGCUCUGAACCUUUAUCUACCUGU